GUGCCAGCAGCCGCGGUAAUACGUAGGGGGCAAGCGUUAUCCGGAUUUACUGGGUGUAAAGGGAGCGUAGACGGUGUUGCAAGUCUGAUGUGAAAGGCGGGGGCUCAACCCCUGGACUGCAUUGGAAACUGUGAUACUCGAGUGCCGGAGAGGUAAGCGGAAUUCCUAGUGUAGCGGUGAAAUGCGUAGAUAUUAGGAGGAACACCAGUGGCGAAGGCGGCUUACUUGGACGGUAACUGACGUUGAGGGCUCGAAAGCGUGGGGAGCAAACAGGAUUUGAUACCCUGGUAGUCC
rnacentral:rRNA from 1 species